rnacentral:rRNA from 1 species
UACGUAGGGUGCAAGCGUUAAUCGGAAUUACUGGGCGUAAAGCGUGCGCAGGCGGUAAUGUAAGACAGUUGUGAAAUCCCCGGGCUCAACCUGGGAACUGCAUCUGUGACUGCAUUGCUGGAGUACGGCAGAGGGGGAUGGAAUUCCGCGUGUAGCAGUGAAAUGCGUAGAUAUGCGGAGGAACACCGAUGGCGAAGGCAAUCCCCUGGGCCUGUACUGACGCUCAUGCACGAAAGCGUGGGGAGCAAACAGGAUUAGAUACCCUGGUAGUCCACGCCCUAAACGAUGUCAACUGGUUGUUGGGAAUUCACUUUCUCAGUAACGAAGCUAACGCGUGAAGUUGACCGCCUGGGGAGUACGGCCGCAAGGCUGAA